rnacentral:lncRNA from 1 species
GACCAUUGAUUGGCUAUCUGUUUCCUAUUUUGUUUCUCUUGUGGAGUUAGAUGUAAGACCAUUGAUUGGAAAUCUGUUUCCUAUGUUGCUGUGUGGAGUUGGACGUAAGACCAUUUAUUGGCACUCCGUUUCCCAUCUCGUUUCGGAGUUGGAUGUAAGACCAUUUAUUGGCAAUCCAUUUCCAGUUUUGUUGCUCCUUUGAACUUGCUUAUUUGCU